UGCUGAGCCGCUGGGACCAAGAGGCC
rnacentral:piRNA from 1 species